rnacentral:misc_RNA from 1 species
CGAACCUCAAGCACUGCUUGGUGUUGGGCGAGGUCCCACGGGGACCCGCCCGCAACCCGUAGGCGGCAGUCGCCCGCGCCCCAGCGUAGCAAGCCUUCGCACCCGCUCGGGGACGGCGCGGCGGCCGGUCCAACGAACCCAUCUAAAAA